AGGUCAAUAUAGCCCCUUUAUGUUCACUAAAGAUGUUGCAAUUAAUUCACAAUAUUGCAUUUGGGUAAAUUUAUGCUUUAUUAAGGUAGUUUAUGCUUUAUUCAUUCAGCAAUGGAGUUGGUGCCAUGUUUAUGCAAUUCAAAGGGACUUGAUUUACAUGAUGUUUAAGGAAUUAGCCUUUUAGUUGAAAAAUGUAGUCUCAUAUUUCCGGACUAUACUUAAGUCCUGUUCUCCAAGUUAUUGUCUGCUUUGUCAGACAUCUUUCUAAAGUCUACAAAAGAUGAUGGUUAUUUGCAGGCAUGCCUCUAUUGGUUGAAAAAUGAAAACUUGUGCUUUUGUGAUAGGUUGACUUUGUUAUUAGUUAGGUUACUUCAGUUGUUGGUUCAUAAGCAUAUUGUGGUAGUUACUGCUAGUUGUCUUGUGUAUGUUUGCACUUCAUCCAUUUCUUUUAAUGACUUUUGCUUCUUCUAUGUCUUGGAGUUCUUUUGUUUCGUAUGGGCUAGGGUAUUUUGUAUAUUCUAUAUAUUCCAAUACUAGUUCUAUUUGAACUAUUUGCAGCCCACAAUUGGUGAAAUUUCUUCAAUAUCAGAUAAAAUUAUCUUGUCAAAUCUCUUGGGAAAGACAAUAAAGUUAGAAACGGAGGAUUAGGAGAUACACCCAUAGAGUUUAUUAGAACUCUUGCCUAAAAAUUAGAAUUCUUCAUUCCAAGCAUCCUUUCAAUUAUAAUUUUAAAACUAAACUAAAUUUUCAAAUGAAACAGAGAGAUGGAUCUCUUGCUAGUUCCUUAUUCCUCAUAUCCCAGCCUAAAAAUAAUCCAAAUGCCUCCCUUUUUACUAGCCAGCAAGAUUCCAAUAGCAUUGGAUAUGGCUGUUGAAAUUUUUAGGCAUACUUAUAGCAACUGUUAACAAUUUUUCUACUGCUACAGAUUCCAAUAGCAUUGGAUAUGGCUGUUGAAAUUUUUAGGCAUACUUAUAGCAACUGUUAACAAUUUUUAUACUGCUACAUAUUCCAAUAGCAUUGGAUAUGGCUGUUGAAUUUUAAUCCAGAGAUUAUGACCUAUGGAAGCACAUUUGUGCAGAUGAGUACAUGAAAUGUGAAGUGAUAGAGUGUUGUGAAUCUUUAAAAAAUGUCUUGAAUGUUCUGGCAGUUGGAGAAAAUGAGAAAAGGUUCCAAGCUACAUUCCUACUUAUUGAACCAAACAUCAUCAAAUAAUCAUAGUUCUUUCGUUUUUGUCAGUUGCAGUUUUUUUUUUUUUUGUCGACUUUGACACUUGAACAAGUUUUUUUUUUUUUUAUGAGGAUAUAUUAAGAAUCUUGCUUUUAAGGCUUCCUCUUUUCUCUCUCGCUUUAUUUAAAUGAUAGUAAAUGGUUCAAAUUAGUUUAUUACAAAAAUGAUUUGUAUGUAGUUUCAUUUAUAAUGUCAAUAUAUCAAAAUUCUUGAUUAACUGAUUGCAGUUCAAAGAAAGUGUUAAACAAUUUGCUCAAGAUAACAUUGCUCCCCAUGCCACAAAAAUUGAUCAACCCAACUCUUUUCCAAAUGUCAGUUGGAAGUCCUUCUCUAUAUGUUUAAUGAGUUGCUAUAUGAUUUAACUAAAAUGUAUUGUAUUGUAGGAUGUUAACUUGUGGAAGCUCAUUCGGGACUUCGAUCUCCAUGGAAUUAGAACAUCAGACCAAGUGGAUGUUACGGUGAUGCUGUUAUUCUACAUUUGUGCUCUGCUAUGUAGUUGUUUCUCUUAUCGACGCAUGUAGUGAUAGGUUCAACUGGAGUCAACAACUUCAUAAGUUUACUUUCCAAGAACAUUUUCAGAGACGAACAUUCUCGGUUGGUCGUUUAUGCUUCUGCAGAAAAUCUUGUUAGAUGUAUUCUAAUGCUAUUUAAAAUAUUUUUUGAUUAAGGGUUGGGAUUCCGUACUUGUAAAUUGUUGACACUUGAUUGGA